GCAGCUGGUCGUUCUGUCGCUUUUUUGCAAAAAAGAGAGGAAAGUCCGGACAGCACAGGGCGUUCCACUAUCUAACCGAUAGAUGUUCGCAAGAGCAUGGUAAUGUAGAAGAAAACAACCGCCGAAAGGCAAGGGUGAGAAGGUGAGGUAAAAGCUCACCGGUUCGUACAGUGAUGUACGAAGCCGUACAUUCUGGAAGCUGCAAAGCCAUAUACACCGGCGCUUGAGGGUUGCCCGCCCGAUGCCGGGGGGUAGGCUGCAAAGAAUUUUGCGGUAACGCAAAAUCAAGAUAAAUGACAGAAAUCCUUCUCCGGAAGGACACAGAAUCCGGCUUACAGACCAGCUGCUUUU
rnacentral:RNase_P_RNA from 1 species